rnacentral:rRNA from 1 species
UACGUAGGGAGCAAGCGUUGUUCGGAUUUACUGGGCGUAAAGGGCGCGUAGGCGGCGCGGUAAGUCACUUGUGAAAUCUCUGAGCUUAACUCAGAACGGCCAAGUGAUACUGCAGUGCUAGAGUGCAGAAGGGGCAAUCGGAAUUCUUGGUGUAGCGGUGAAAUGCGUAGAUAUCAAGAGGAACACCGGUGGCGAAGGCGGCUCUCUGGUCCAUGUCUGACGCUGAGGUACGAAAGCUAGGGGAGCAAACGGG